UGCCAGGAACCAUGCGAGUGGGCGCUGCCCAACCCCGCCAGGUCCGGAAGGAAGCAACGGUAAGCGGUGACCUGCUGCGCCGUGGUCCUCCUGGCCGGG
rnacentral:SRP_RNA from 1 species